rnacentral:other from 1 species
GAAUGCCUGCGGAGUUCGUGAGAGGGUAUAUCCUUUUACAGGAUAAUACCCGACCCUAUGUAAAAACCCACAUUUACGAAAGGGAGUUCACAUUCAACGGCGGUGAGCAGGCCUCCCGCAUAUAAGCUGCUUUGUCACCUUAUAUGCGGACGUUGGAAGCUCUGAAACCCGAGAGAGGACACCCACCUGCACAAAGGCAGGGUUUCGUUCCAUGGGGACACGGCUUUGCGGGUUUAGG